GAUGAACGCUGGCGGCGUGCCUAAUACAUGCAAGUCGAGCGAACAGACGAGGAGCUUGCUCCUCUGACGUUAGCGGCGGACGGGUGAGUAACACGUGGAUAACCUACCUAUAAGACUGGGAUAACUUCGGGAAACCGGAGCUAAUACCGGAUAAUAUAUUGAACCGCAUGGUUCAAAAGUGAAAGACGGUUUUGCUGUCACUUAUAGAUGGAUCCGCGCCGCAUUAGCUAGUUGGUAAGGUAACGGCUUACCAAGGCAACGAUGCGUAGCCGACCUGAGAGGGUGAUCGGCCACGCUGGAACUGAGACACGGUCCAGACUCCUACGGGAGGCAGAAGUAGGGAAUCUUCCGCAAUGGGCGAAAGCCUGACGGAGCACCGCCGCGUGAGUGAUGAAGGUCUUCGGAUCGUAAAACUCUGUUAUUAGGGAAGAACAAAUGUGUAAGUAACGAUGCACGUCUUGACGGUACCUAAUCAGAAAGCCACGGCUAACUACGG
rnacentral:rRNA from 1 species